rnacentral:rRNA from 1 species
GCAAGUCGAGCGGUAACAGGAAUUUUCUUGCUAAUUAGCUGACGAGCGGCGGACGGGUGAGUAAUGCCUGGGAAUAUGCCUUAGUGUGGGGGAUAACUAUUGGAAACGAUAGCUAAUACCGCAUAAUGUCUUCGGACCAAAGAGGGGGAUCUUCGGACCUCUCGCGAUAAGAUUAGCCCAGGUGAGAUUAGCUUGUUGGUGAGGUAAGAGCUCACCAAGGCGACGAUCUCUAGCUGGUCUGAGAGGAUGAUC